rnacentral:rRNA from 1 species
UGGGGAAUAUUGCACAAUGGGGGAAACCCUGAUGCAGCGACGCCGCGUGAACGAAGAAGGUAUUCGUAUCGUAAAGUUCUGUCCUAUGGGAAGAUAAUGACAGUACCAUAGAAGAAAGCUCCGGCUAAAUACGUGCCAGCAGCCGCGGUAAUACGUAUGGAGCGAGCGUUGUCCGGAAUUAUUGGGCGUAAAGGGUACGCAGGCGGUUUAAUAAGUCGAAUGUUAAAGAUCGGGGCUCAACCCCGUAAAGCAUUGGAAACUGAUAAACUUGAGUAGUGGAGAGGAAAGUGGAAUUCCUAGCGUAGUGGUGAAAUACGUAGAUAUUAGGAGGAAUACCAGUAGCGAAGGCGACUUUCUGGACACAAACUGACGCUGAGGUACGAAAGCGUGGGGAGCAAACAGG